UAUGCCUUUUUAAAAAAUCAUUUCAAUUUUGGUUGGCUGAUGAAUUUACAAGUAUAGGUAGUAUGCUAUGACAGGGGCAAGUCUUACACUAACACCUCAAGGGUGUCUGGCUCAAUGACCAGAGUUUGAUAGUAACUUUUGUUACAAGU
ensembl:snoRNA SNORA62 Small nucleolar RNA SNORA62/SNORA6 family